AAUAUAAAUCAGAUUGAAGAUGAAGGUUUGUAUUUAUUUAGAUGUGUAUUAUGUUACAGAUGUAUAAUGUUAUGUUGUUAGUUCUUAAAUGUAUGUUUAUUUUUAGUUGCUGAAUUACUAAGAAAUGAUGACAAUAUUGAAGCAAACGUUGGUAAUAAUAUUGAAACAACAUCUUCUGUUUCGAAUGAAAAUGAUUCCUUAUCAUUCGAAGAAUAUAAAAGUUACCGCUCCCAACACCCAGGACCUCUCUCAGAGAGGUCCUUCAACAAAUGGAUAGAUAAUGGCGAAAUGAAUGAGCCCUCCUUUAAAUGGAGGGCUCAUCCAUACCGGGGUGUUAAGAGACACCGAAGAAAAAACAGCAAC